AAGAGAGACCUAAUUAGAAAAACAAUGAUAAAGAAAACCUCUCAAUUAAUUGUUCACAGUAUAGAAAAUUGAUGAUAAGUUCAUAGCAUGUCUGACAACCGUUGGCAUGGCAUUACAAAAGGAAAAGACCACAAAUUGUUGCUUAAAUUGUUAUUUGAUAUUAUUGAUAUAUUUUUCAUGGAUUUAGUUUAUUUUCAUGUGUCUAGAUACUUUCUUCCCUCAUCAUCAUCAUCUUCGUAGUUGUCAUAGUCAUCAUUAUCAUUUAUUUCAUUGUUUCCCCUCCAAAACCAUUUUUUACCCGAGAGAUAACAUUACAUGAAAUCUUCCAAGCUGAAAUAAGAUUACCAUUGGAUCUAAAUCCAUGUCUGGCUUUCAGUAUCUUGCAUAUAACAAAAGCAUGAACAAGGCCAGCAAGAGCUUGGAAUGGUGUUGAGCAGAUGCUUUAGAAAACCAAAAAAUAAUACACUAAUGAAUAGUAUGGCCCAAAUGAUUUGGGAUGCCAAAAAUUGAGCCAAAGAAGUUCCAAGGCUGCCAUGCCACUCCAACUUUGCAUAGUAAUUGAUCCAACGACUCACAGUCAUGCAUUCCCACACAAUAAUGGCACCUUGAAACAAUGCAAACACCUACUAAUACCAUCAUCAGUAGGCACACCUCCAGAAAAGAUUUUCGAGACAAGAAAGGAGAUCUUCGAUGGAAUUAAUUUAUUCAAAGACCACUUCCAUCCCAAACAAUCUGAUCUCCAAUGAAUGCUCUCCCAAGCAGUUUGACAGAGAAAUUGCCAUUACCAGACAGCUUCUAAACAAGACGGUCUUCCUCUGAAUGGAGUCAGAUUAAACUUUGGUCUUUAGAACAUCAGGUGCUUAAUCUACUCCUAGUUUUUCCAAUUCCAAGUGUGUGGAAGGAUGCGCAAUGAGUUCGUUGAAACUUCUAGCUGCAUGCAUUCUGCGCUAUGCAUUAUAAUAUGAAGAUCUAAGAAUAAAGACAUCUUGCACACCAGCCAUGAGGCUUCAUUCUGAAAAAUCACAGGUAUAUCCAGGUGUUCAGGUCUAACAAAGUGCUGCAACAGGUGUAUUUUCUCUGAAAUCUCUUGAUCAGAUUUAACAUCCUCAGAGGAGGAAGCGAAUGUGCGAUUGAACAACUUUGUCAUGGCAUACUUCUCCAGACCCUGCAUUAUAAAAAGAACUAUUUAGAAACAUUUACUAGAACCAUCUGAGCACCGAGUAACUGGCCACAUAAAGCCACAGGCCCUAUGCAGUUUAUUGCAUCAGUGUUCCUGAUGUUUGUGAGUAAAGAGCACCAAUAUGAAAGAAAGAUGCAAUUUGUGAUAGAAGUUUCUUAGCACGGUGCUUUAAGGCAUAGAAUGAAGUCAUAGUAUCCUGAAAAGAGACUCUUGAGAGAUUUUCUAGGUAUCUACGAGCAGCAGUCUUACCUUUUUCCCCAGAAGAAGGCACGAGUAUGUGGCAUAAGGCUACUUGCAGUUAAAAGCUCCAGGGAAGGGAUGCAACGGAAGAAUGUGGGUUAUUGUUGCUAUAGUGAGAGGUCAAGCAGUGCAUGCUUCAUAGGCAGUAGAGAACACUGCUCCCCAUGGCCAGUGGUAAUAAUUACUAAACAACCAAGCCUAAGAAUGAGUGGUAAUCAUUACUAAACAACUAAGCCUAAGAAUGAGUAGUAAUCAUUACUAAACAACUAAGCCUAAGAGAUUUCAAUGCAUGAGCUAAUGAAGGCAUCAAGACCUAAGAGGUGGUAAAACAGGUUAAUAUGCUUAGGGUGCAAAAUGCCUUGCAGGCAAAGGUAGCUAGGAACAGUCAAGCUCACACGCUCAUGUAUGUAGAGUGGGUAUCUGAAUCAUGAUAGAGUCAACCUUACCACGACCAACGUAGCUUGGGAAUGACUAAAGUUGAAAAAAGGCAAUGAAAACGAAGAUGCACAAAUUUGACAAGUGGGUAUUAAUCAAGAUUAGGCCAUUAUCAUGAGCUACCAAUCUGAAGGCCUCCAUCAAAGGCUUUCAGGUGAUAUUGGCAAUGAAAUUCCUCUGAGCAACUAGAGCAAUUAUACUUUCAUUUCUUGGAGCCAUCAGCACAAUAAGGGAACUCAUCAUGGUGCCAAUGAUGUCAACAUUCUGGAGCAAUAAUGGCUGAGAAGCAAGCUACGUAUCACUCAAGCAAGAAUAGGAAGAAAAGGGCAAACCAAUAUACUAAAGAAAAACUUGGUGAUGCAAUUAUCCACAAUUUGGGAAAGAAUUGGGAGAAUCUCAUAGAAGAUCAGGAAGCUCUGAUAAUAUAAAAGGGGAAUAAAUAAUAAAUU